ensembl:snRNA U4 U4 spliceosomal RNA
AGCUUUGCACAGUGGCGGCAUCGUAGCCAAUGAAGUUUAUCUGAGGCGGGAUUAUUGCUAAUUAAAAACUUUUUCCAAUACCCCGCCGUGACAACUUGAAAUAUAGUCGGCAUUCGCAAUUCUUGGCAGUCUCUAUGGGGA